CAGGAUAUAGCCAACGGCCGUUGUAUGGAAUAUACCUGCAAGUGGAAAAGACAGGAAGAUAAUGUCGAUCAGUUGCAGUUCUUAAAUGUAUUGCAUUACUCAGUGUGUAUUGUAAGCCCAUCAAAUCGACCAUAGACAUUGAUUUCAGACUUACAACAAUGUAAACAUAAACACAUUCGUCUAUCAAAUUAAGGUGGCUAUCUGCCUCGACAGCAUAAAGUAUUCAUCGUUUUCAAUCAAAGAAGAUUGGCGAACGGAGACAGAAAAUUACCAUCAAGUGUCUCUGCAUAAUGACAAAUAUUCUGCGAGAUCUUAAUUAAUUGCGACAGGUCACCUCUGUCUUCGAUGCAGUACCCCAGCGUCGUGACUGGAAUUUCGAAAGGUGUUUUGUGGCUCAAUUCAUCGCCAUCUCUCGCACUAGAAUGAAAUUGAAGGCAAGUGCGCAUGUCCAGUUGCUCCAUUGGAAAAGUACUGCUAAUUUGUGUACCUUUCAGACCUGAUCUUUGUGUUGGGGGGGGGGUAGUCAUGAUGUAAGCCCUGUCGGAAACUGGUAAUCUUUUCGGAUCUAUCGAUUCUGCCACCUGUAGACCCCGUCCAGUCAGCAAGCAAAGUGCCUCGCAACAAUUUGCCGUCAUAUUUUUUCUUGGUUGUUUCUUCUCAUUCUGGCAGGCAGCAAAUUAAAUUUUGGCAAACCUCCAUUAACCAACCUCCACAACAAUCAUUGUAUAGUGCCGAUCUAAAGCUAUGAGAGUUUGGAGCUGUAGCUUGACUUUUGACAGCCACGGCAACAUGCGUAUACAAAUUCCUUUAAUCAAUCAAGUUAAUUUAUUUUCGCUGUUUCUGUCUUUCUUCUUUGUGUCUUACAAUUGCCAACCAGCGAACAGUCAGAGCCAGGGUCAGUCCCCAGUCCCAAGAAUGGCUUUUAUCGCUCAGAACAUUAGUGCGAGCUCCAGCGAAUGAACUCCAGUGCCCAUGGUAAUAGUAUCCAACGGAUAUGCGGCCAAACAAAAGUCCCAAGAAUGCGGAUGUCUUGGCCAGGCCUGGGCUCUGGUCUCUUGGCCGGGCUAUUGCAUAGCUCAUAGCUCGCUCUAUUCACCAUUUAAGCAGUGACUGACUGGUCUGCGCAUUGUUUGAUUGCUUUGGGGUGAAGAAGGAGGAGGAUCGAUUCAUGCUCAAAAUGCUUACAAUGAUGUGCCUUUGUGUCUUCAUUUCCGAGUUCCCACUCGGCGUUCGACUCGUUCUGGUUUCGACUGUUAUUUUGGCUUGAGCAGACGAGUGCAAUUUUCAUAAUAAUAGACAUUAACGAAUGCCCCAAUGGGUAAAGCUCCCCUGACCUUGUUUGUCAUAUGGAUAGGCUUGGCGUUGGCUCGAUCCGAAGUGACAUUUAUCGAGCCAUAAAUAACGCAGAUCUGGUAUCGAGAGUUCUCAUUCAGAUUCGAUUUUGGAUGGUACUUUGAUUGUUGUCGGCUUAGCCAAAUUCCGAGACUUGGCCUUGACAUUGGGCUUUUGUCAACAUACAGACGCUGAAUAGUGUGUGUGUGUGAAUACGUCAACAUAUUAACUAUAUGAUGGGGUUGGGACACACACUCCAUGCCCCUCCAAGCCAUUCUGUGCAAAAGCCUUGGCCCUGGAUUGCAUCCAAACCAUCAGUGCGUGCGUGUAAAUCUCGUUAUCCACGAGCACAUACCUCCAUAUACAUAUUUCUAGUUCAAAGUCAAGGCGGCAUACGCACCGAGACCAGACCACACCAAAACCGGACAUUGGACAUCGGACCACAGACGUGACUUCGGUUUGCUUUGCUUCGGUUCUUUCGCUUUCUUCGGCAAGGUCAGCGGUGUUGCGUUUCGCGUAUCGAGUACACCCCUGUGUGGGCGUUCGAAAUCGAAUAUUUCAUUCGGCUUGCAAUUGAAGUAGAAUUGUUUGAAGCAUUAAACUGAAACUAAAGUGCAUUUAAUUAUUGCCUCAGCCGCUACGCUACCCGCUCAGUGCCAACUAUUGAUGCAUUUUCAAAUGGGUUUUACUGUACUUUGGAGGGCACUGCUGCGAGUGGAAAGCCGCGAGCGCAACUGACCUCACGCCCCACCUCAUGCCACACGCAAUGCCAAAUUAGCCUCUCUGUUCGGGAGAAUGUUGCAACGCUGAUAUGACAGCAUCGACCCCUGUUCGCUUAUGUUCGUGACAAGAUUAGACCAAGAACAGGCCGCGACUGCAACCGCGACGGGAGACUGCGGUCAGGCUUGGCUGCUUGCACUCGACUCUCGAGUCGAGUCGAGUCGAAAACUGGACACGGACGUGACUAAUGUGUGAAUAUCUGAUAGUCAAGCGCUCUUAAAAACAUAGCUACGUGAAUGUGGGCGUGCCAUGGGGACCACAGCCAUUCGUUAUCUAAGAGAAAUCUUUGGGUCGGGAAUGAAAUGGUCUAAAUGGUCUAAAAGGUAACUACUACAAGUACUUAUAUUCUCAUUUGCUACCGGUAAACUUUCCAGCCCAGCGUCAGCUUUAGGUCUAGAUUUUAAUAGGCCUCUUAAAUCGGCUAUGAAAAGCACUUUGAACAGAUGACAAGACAAAUGGCUGGCACUCAAGCAUGCCCAUUCCAUUACUUACACACAAUACUACUCGGUACAAUUGUAUUAACUUGUCUAAAAAUGCGGUUUAACAGCGCUUGCACUUGCACCCGCACUAUCCCCGGUGUCGUGUCGGCUGUAACCGCUGUCAAGGUUAACUUGGCUUUUAUGAAUGUCUUAUAGACAGAGAGAGAGAGGGAGGGAGGGGCGACGGCAGGCAGAGGCACUGGCACUAGCGCUGGCCAGAUGGUGGCUUGGCAUGCAGCUAGAUUCUUUGACACUAUUCAUAAUGAACUGCGAAUAAAUAAUCUUAAUUAAAUGCCCAGACCAGACCGGGUCCGGACCAGGCAGGUGUCUCUAUUCUUGAUUCUCCUCCCAUUUGCAAUUAGCAGCCACUUAGCCACCGCUGUAGGCAAAUAUCUUUAGGGCCAAUUAGGCUUGCGUGCCGCUGCAGCAGCAACAACAACAGCUGCCACUCGUUGCUGACCCUGGCACUUGUGGCACUCUUAAGAUCGUUAAACACUUUGAAACGCAACGCCACUUGUAUUCCGAUUACGUUACGGAUUUUGAUUUAUGCAUAACAAAGUUAAGCGGCUAAUUGGGCUUCCAGAUGGAUGAAGAUGAAGCCAUCAGGUCGCUAAGUGCCGACCAUGUCACAUGGUUUGUCUGCCACCCCCCGACCAACCAUUAUGGCCAAAGUGUUAACCACGGCUGACGCCGCCGAACCAAACAUGUGCCGGAUGUUUGUGUAUAUGUAGAUCAAGCUUGCACAAGAAGAGAGCGAGAGACACUUAAAGACGACUUGUACAACAAGAGAUGGUCAACAAAAUCAAACACGAGAGAUCAAUCAUGCUCGUCAUUGGGGGAAAGUAAUCGCUGGGAAAAAACCAUACCUACCCCAACACCCUUUAAUAUGGUAAUUAAUAAUAUCUCAUUGUAGGAAAGUACCGGCAUGGUACAGGCCACCGGACGGAUCGAAGAUUAAGGAUACCAACGAUUCUAAUUAGAAGGUCGAUUGCGAAUGGACUGAGUAUAGGAUGCCUCAUGCCUCAUAAAUGCACAUUUUACAGUUGUGUACCUCUAGCUCAGUGUCGUUUUUACUUUUCUCGGAAUUGAGGAAGUUUGGUCGUUGUUGGCUAAAUCUUAGCCAUUUAUCCACAGAUUUUAUAAACGACACCUUAAACGAUGCCUUAUUAAUACAAUUAUACAAAUAAAAAACAAAUUAAAAAAGUUUUUUCGGUGUUUUUCAUAGUUUUUAAAGUCUUUUUUGAAUGUAAAAAAUUAUACAUUUUUCAUUUGAAAGCUAUAUUUUCCAGAUGGUAAGCUGAAGCUCACAAUUUUUCGGAUCCAAUUAAUAGCUGCGUUUAUCAGCUUUUCAGAAUGGCAAACCAAAAGUAGGAUACUUAAGUUAUGUGGCAAUAGAAGCACUAACUCUAUAAAAAAUAUUUCGAAAUAGAAAUGCUGUUGCAUCAUGGUGUUAUUUAUAUGAAGAAUCAGAAUAGUUUCGGGGAGUAGAUCAGACAAGAACCACUUGUGUUUUUUUGAUGACCAAAGAUCAACUAGAGGCAUGAAAAUAAAUCAGUACUACGACUCAGCUCAUCCAGGUGUCUCGCCCAACCAGAUCUGAAUGAAUACCAAAACGCUGCAGCUGAAGCAGCGUCAGGGGGUAUCCCGUAUGCAAAUAUAAGAUUGCGGUGCCCACGUAGUGCCCGGCAACAGUUGCCCCACUAAGGGUAUUGCUGUGUGCUGCAUUGGAACUACUAAUCCGGCAUUUGCAUAAAUCAAUACACUCGUCUUGGCUAGAACCGGGUGGACAGAAUAGACCGGCUGACCAUAGAAACAAACGCCGUUCAGAGUGCAGUGGCAGCAACAACAAACGCUAAUCAUCGUCUUGGCAAAUAUAUUAUUGUGUCUCGGACAUUCUGCUUUGCUUUUGUGUUGAGCACAGCUUUCGAGUGGGUUCUGAAAAACGACCGGGUGCCGGACGGCGGACUGUAUAACCCGAAUUACGGGUAAUUACGUCGUCGCUGUCGCUUGUUCGACAAACGCAAAUUGAGCAGAGCAGACGAGACCAGACGAAUGGGGAGAUCCGAAUAUAAAGAUACAGAUACCAGAUGCAAGGAUGAUAUCUCAUUAUUACACACCUCGUACUGACUCAGCGACAUUCCACGCGGAUUGUGAUCUUCGUGACUGCCCCCACAACAAUAUGACCUGCCCCACCCCUUGCUUGGCGAGGGGGCAUCAAAAGACGCCCACCUGCAAAUUAUGAGGGACUUUGGGAUCUCGCUUCGAUGUGGGAACACGAUUCAGAUUCGUUGUCGCUGUCGUUCGACUAAAUUGAAAUUGAAAUUGAAAUUAAAACUCAAAUUAAAUGAUUGCCAGAUUCUUAGCUUAAUAAAUUCCUAUUUAAAUUGUGCCUUCAACUUUUUGAGAUAAUGC
rnacentral:sRNA from 1 species